GGUUAAGCGACUAAGCGUACACGGUGGAUGCCCUGGCAGUCAGAGGCGAUGAAGGACGUGCUAAUCUGCGAUAAGCGUCGGUAAGGUGAUAUGAACCGUUAUAACCGGCGAUUUCCGAAUGGGGAAACCCAGUGUGAUUCGUCACACUAUCAUUAACUGAAUCCAUAGGUUAAUGAGGCGAACCGGGGGAACUGAAACAUCUAAGUACCCCGAGGAAAAGAAAUCAACCGAGAUUCCCCCAGUAGCGGCGAGCGAACGGGGAGCAGCCCAGAGCCUGAAUCAGUGUGUGUGUUAGUGGAAGCGUCUGGAAAGGCGCGCGAUACAGGGUGACAGCCCCGUACACAAAAAUGCACAUGCUGUGAGCUCGAUGAGUAGGGCGGGACACGUGGUAUCCUGUCUGAAUAUGGGGGGACCAUCCUCCAAGGCUAAAUACUCCUGACUGACCGAUAGUGAACCAGUACCGUGAGGGAAAGGCGAAAAGAACCCCGGCGAGGGGAGUGAAAAAGAACCUGAAACCGUGUACGUACAAGCAGUGGGAGCACGCUUAGGCGUGUGACUGCGUACCUUUUGUAUAAUGGGUCAGCGACUUAUAUUCUGUAGCAAGGUUAACCGAAUAGGGGAGCCGAAGGGAAACCGAGUCUUAACUGGGCGUUAAGUUGCAGGGUAUAGACCCGAAACCCGGUGAUCUAGCCAUGGGCAGGUUGAAGGUUGGGUAACACUAACUGGAGGACCGAACCGACUAAUGUUGAAAAAUUAGCGGAUGACUUGUGGCUGGGGGUGAAAGGCCAAUCAAACCGGGAGAUAGCUGGUUCUCCCCGAAAGCUAUUUAGGUAGCGCCUCGUGAAUUCAUCUCCGGGGGUAGAGCACUGUUUCGGCAAGGGGGUCAUCCCGACUUACCAACCCGAUGCAAACUGCGAAUACCGGAGAAUGUUAUCACGGGAGACACACGGCGGGUGCUAACGUCCGUCGUGAAGAGGGAAACAACCCAGACCGCCAGCUAAGGUCCCAAAGUCAUGGUUAAGUGGGAAACGAUGUGGGAAGGCCCAGACAGCCAGGAUGUUGGCUUAGAAGCAGCCAUCAUUUAAAGAAAGCGUAAUAGCUCACUGGUCGAGUCGGCCUGCGCGGAAGAUGUAACGGGGCUAAACCAUGCACCGAAGCUGCGGCAGCGACGCUUAUGCGUUGUUGGGUAGGGGAGCGUUCUGUAAGCCUGUGAAGGUGUACUGUGAGGUAUGCUGGAGGUAUCAGAAGUGCGAAUGCUGACAUAAGUAACGAUAAAGCGGGUGAAAAGCCCGCUCGCCGGAAGACCAAGGGUUCCUGUCCAACGUUAAUCGGGGCAGGGUGAGUCGACCCCUAAGGCGAGGCCGAAAGGCGUAGUCGAUGGGAAACAGGUUAAUAUUCCUGUACUUGGUGUUACUGCGAAGGGGGGACGGAGAAGGCUAUGUUGGCCGGGCGACGGUUGUCCCGGUUUAAGCGUGUAGGCUGGUUUUCCAGGCAAAUCCGGAAAAUCAAGGCUGAGGCGUGAUGACGAGGCACUACGGUGCUGAAGCAACAAAUGCCCUGCUUCCAGGAAAAGCCUCUAAGCAUCAGGUAACAUCAAAUCGUACCCCAAACCGACACAGGUGGUCAGGUAGAGAAUACCAAGGCGCUUGAGAGAACUCGGGUGAAGGAACUAGGCAAAAUGGUGCCGUAACUUCGGGAGAAGGCACGCUGAUAUGUAGGUGAAGUCCCUCGCGGAUGGAGCUGAAAUCAGUCGAAGAUACCAGCUGGCUGCAACUGUUUAUUAAAAACACAGCACUGUGCAAACACGAAAGUGGACGUAUACGGUGUGACGCCUGCCCGGUGCCGGAAGGUUAAUUGAUGGGGUCAGCGCAAGCGAAGCUCUUGAUCGAAGCCCCGGUAAACGGCGGCCGUAACUAUAACGGUCCUAAGGUAGCGAAAUUCCUUGUCGGGUAAGUUCCGACCUGCACGAAUGGCGUAAUGAUGGCCAGGCUGUCUCCACCCGAGACUCAGUGAAAUUGAACUCGCUGUGAAGAUGCAGUGUACCCGCGGCAAGACGGAAAGACCCCGUGAACCUUUACUAUAGCUUGACACUGAACAUUGAGCCUUGAUGUGUAGGAUAGGUGGGAGGCUUUGAAGUGUGGACGCCAGUCUGCAUGGAGCCGGCCUUGAAAUACCACCCUUUAAUGUUUGAUGUUCUAACGUGGACCCGUAAUCCGGGUUGCGGACAGUGUCUGGUGGGUAGUUUGACUGGGGCGGUCUCCUCCUAAAGAGUAACGGAGGAGCACGAAGGUUGGCUAAUCCUGGUCGGACAUCAGGAGGUUAGUGCAAUGGCAUAAGCCAGCUUGACUGCGAGCGUGACGGCGCGAGCAGGUGCGAAAGCAGGUCAUAGUGAUCCGGUGGUUCUGAAUGGAAGGGCCAUCGCUCAACGGAUAAAAGGUACUCCGGGGAUAACAGGCUGAUACCGCCCAAGAGUUCAUAUCGACGGCGGUGUUUGGCACCUCGAUGUCGGCUCAUCACAUCCUGGGGCUGAAGUAGGUCCCAAGGGUAUGGCUGUUCGCCAUUUAAAGUGGUACGCGAGCUGGGUUUAGAACGUCGUGAGACAGUUCGGUCCCUAUCUGCCGUGGGCGCUGGAGAACUGAGGGGGGCUGCUCCUAGUACGAGAGGACCGGAGUGGACGCAUCACUGGUGUUCGGGUUGUCAUGCCAAUGGCACUGCCCGGUAGCUAAAUGCGGAAGAGAUAAGUGCUGAAAGCAUCUAAGCACGAAACUUGCCCCGAGAUGAGUUCUCCCUGACUCCUUGAGAGUCCUGAAGGAACGUUGAAGACGACGACGUUGAUAGGCCGGGUGUGUAAGCGCAGCGAUGCGUUGAGCUAACCGGUACUAAUGAACCGUGAGGCUUAACCUU
rnacentral:rRNA from 1 species